UGAGGAAGUAAAAGUCGUAACAAGGUCUCCGUUGGUGAACCAGCGGAGGGAUCAUUACUGAGUUUACGCUCUACAACCCUUUGUGAACAUACCUACAACUGUUGCUUCGGCGGGUAGGGUCUCCGCGACCCUCCCGGCCUCCCGCCUCCGGGCGGGUCGGCGCCCGCCGGAGGAUAACCAAACUCUGAUUUAACGACGUUUCUUCUGAGUGGUACAAGCAAAUAAUCAAAACUUUUAACAACGGAUCUCUUGGUUCUGGCAUCGAUGAAGAACGCAGCGAAAUGCGAUAAGUAAUGUGAAUUGCAGAAUUCAGUGAAUCAUCGAAUCUUUGAACGCACAUUGCGCCCGCCAGCAUUCUGGCGGGCAUGCCUGUUCGAGCGUCAUUUCAACCCUCAAGCUCUGCUUGGUGUUGGGGCCCUACAGCCGAUGUAGGCCCUCAAAGGUAGUGGCGGACCCUCCCGGAGCCUCCUUUGCGUAGUAACUUUACGUCUCGCACUGGGAUCCGGAGGGACUCUUGCCGUAAAACCCCCCAAUUUUCCAAAGGUUGACCUCGGAUCAGGUAGGAAUACCCGCUGAACUUAAGCAUAUCAAA
rnacentral:rRNA from 1 species